GAUAUAUAGAUAUUUUUUAUAUGGUGUGUGGUGUACAGUGAUAAAUAGUGGCUGCUCCCAAUAUUUUCUCCUAAUUUAUAACCUCUUCUUUAUGGAGAAUCCUUUUUGGCAAUGUGACACUAAAGUAAUAGCGCAUUAGUAUGCUCAAUGAAAGAUCCAAAAAAAAAAAAAGAUUGAGAAAUGAGGUUUUCUCUGCGAGUGUUCUCUACACCAUCUGUUGCGAAGGAUUUGAUUCAAGUCAUUUGGGAGUGCUUUCAUUACAUGAUGUAUUUGGGUUGACAUACAAAUUGCGAAGGUUUGAUAUUGUGAGAGUUGGAUUGAGUGAAUGUCUAUCUUGUAAAGAUGUAAGGUUCUAAAACUCUCUCAGAAUCUCUUCCAUUGACAUUGAAUUUCUCCAAUCGCUAGGUUGUUUGUGAUCGUAGAUUUUAGUCUUGGCAGUUGGAAUAGGCUAGAGCUGCGCUGCUGUCGUCGUCGACUAGCUUCUUGAGGCGGUCUUUGAUGAACUUGCUACGGGCUUUGGCACGGUCUUGUUGAGGGCCUAUGUUGGCGAAGGAGAGGUGGACUCCAGCGGCAAAGAGCGAGGCGCCGGCUACGAAGAAGCAGACGCUCACGGCUAGCAUCUUGGGCCUGGGUGGGUACGACCACAACACCAUCUGUUUGUUACAUUGACUCUGAGCUGCGGUGUGCUCUCGACUGACCGAGGAUGCUAGAAGUGAGUGUGGGGAAAAUGGGCUUAAUCCCCCAUAUGUUAGAUCUGUUUUCGUAAUGUCAAUUGGACCUUAUUUAAACCGACCCUAAUUCAGGUAAGCACCUCAACUUUGUCCUUCAAGCUUCUCUCAUUCUAAAGCUUGUUAAAAGCGAUUUUAUUAAAUAAAGGCCCAUCGGUGGGUGUAGCCCGAGGAUGGUCCCAGGAAGGCAAAAUCCUCUUUUUCUUUUUCUUUUUUUGGCUUAAUUGUUUUAAUAGUUUUAAACGUUUAAAAAAAAUUCACAAUAUCAUUAAAAAAUACAUCCUUAAUCACUAAGUUAAAAAAAAAGUGUUGGGAUUCAACUUUUGAUAGCUCUAUCAUUUUCCAUCUUCAAUAUAUUUAUGGAGAAUCUAAAAAAUAAUACUACUUGAUCAUUUGAAACUUAUUACUUAAAUGAUUAUCUUGACGUGAUACCAUGGUACUAUGCGGGUUAUUGAAAAAAUAAAAUAGAACACACAAAAGUGAUAGAAAAAACCUAGAUUUUAGUCUUCCUCUUUUUAUAUUUUCGAACACCUUUUUGUUCAACAUCAAGAGAGUCAUCUAAGUGAUAAGUUUGAAAUGAUCCAAUAGCAGUACUCAAAUCUCAAUUAUGAUAAUUAUCUAAUGCUUCCUUGGUCUGAUUUUCACCAGUGGAGAAGUUGAAUGCUUGUCAAUAUCAUCAUUUCCUUAAGCAUAACCGUUUCCUUAAUAGUUUAUUCUUUACGUGGCUGUAUCUGGCCGUAUCUUGUCCCGAAGAGAAUUGCAAAUUUACAAUACUUGUUCAUAGGCAACUCUUGAUACAACGACAACACAUUCCCUGCCGUUAUUAAUUUUUUUAUUAUCAUUGUUGUAAUAGUUUACAUUCCACCAUUGAUUUUUUUUAGAGCUCUUCAUUUUGACAAGCUAGAACAAACCCCUGUUUCUUGCGAGUCUCAAACAGCAUGGUUAUCCAAGAAUGAGAUUGUCACAGCGGCAUGAAGUGCUGCCCCUAUUGGAAGAGCCUCUUUAUCAAUAAAAAAGUAAGGAGAGUGCAAGGGCCGAUCUGAUUUCAGAGUCUCAUUUUUUAUUCCAACCACAAGUAUUGAAGCAGCAGUUUUCUGUGAGAAAAAGCCGAAAUCCUCUGCUCCUAUGGUCACCGGGAGAAGCUGCACAUUGGGUUUCCCAAGCAAGAUUUCACCAACCUUCUUUGCAUGUUCAUACAGUGCUUCAUCGUUUACCAUUACGGGAUGAGGCAUUGGUCUGUCCUCCAUGAAGUCCACCAUUGCUGUGCAUUGAUGCACUGAUGCUUGUGCCUCUAUGACCUGUGAAUGGGAAAUCACACAUACUUAGUUGUCUGAUAUUUGUGUGAUAACGAAAGAAUAUUACAUAGGUCAAACGAGGAGUGCAUAUUUUACCUCUUUGAUCCUUUCCUGGAUGAAAGAAAGGCCUUCGGUGCUCAAACUCUGAAAAGUUCCCCCGAAGCUCACAGAGUCUGGGAUUACAUUAUGCCUGACCCCCAUUUAUGAACCCAACUGUAACCACUUAUAUGAUUCAAGAUGAACUGAUUACAGUUACUUCAGGCUAUUGCUGUCAAAUCGAUUUGUUCAAAUCAUGAACCCUUCAAAUUUGAUUCUAACAGAAUGACUAGAGAUAUUGGACAAAUUUGAUCCUAA